rnacentral:rRNA from 1 species
UACGUAGGGGGCAAGCGUUGUCCGGAAUCAUUGGGCGUAAAGCGCGUGUAGGCGGCCCGGUAAGUCCGCUGUGAAAGUCGGGGGCUCAACCCUCGAAAGCCGGUGGAUACUGUCGGGCUCGAGUACGGGAGAGGCGAGUGGAAUUCCUGGUGUAGUGGUGAAAUGCGUAGAGAUCGGGAGGAACACCUGUGGCGGAAGGCGGCCCCCUGGGCCGGCCCGUGACACUGGAGACGCGAAGGCGUGGGGAGCGAACGG